UUUGGCUCCAGCACCUUCCUCAAGGACACAGCCUACACCGAAUUUGACGGAACACGCGUGUACAGCCCGCCGGAGUGGGUCCGCUACCACCGCUACCAUGGCCGACCAGCAGCCAUCUGGUCACUGGGAGUGCUGCUUUAUGACAUGGUCUGCGGGGACGUCCCCUUUGAGCGCGAUGAGGACAUCAUCGGUGGGGAGGUCUUCUUCCGGCGCCGGGUCUCUGUCGAGUGCCAGCACCUCAUCCGGUGGUGUUUAUCCCUGCACGCUUCCGACAGACCAUCCCUGGAAGACAUCUUCAACCACACGUGGCUGCAAGCCCUUCACAUGCCCCAGGAGACAGCCGACAUCCACCUGCACAGCCUCAUCCAGGAGCCUGGCAAGUGACAGCUCCAGGCGGCUCCUGGCCACAAGCGGCACAGAAUCCCAGACUUGUCCUUGUGAGCACAGAACUGAGCAAGGAUCCUCAGGUGGCACCUGCACACCUUGUCCUGGACCUUGUCUUCCAUGCACCAGUGGCCGCCAUCCGGCCCGGCUACCCUGGGCUUUGUGUUGUUGUUUAGUUUGCUUUGUUUGGUUGUUCUGGUUUGUUUUCGGGGGAGAUCGGUGUUUGCCUUUGUCCAUUUUGGGUUUCAGGGGACUGCGGUAGA
rnacentral:lncRNA from 14 species